CGGCUGUAGUGUAUUUUUGAAAAUAUAACUCUACUGUAACUUUAGCCAAAAUAAAAACACAAUUUACAACCAUUUGUUACCCCGUCAUAGGAAAAACAAUUGGUCAAUUUUAUUUUAUUUUGCGAAAUAAGUUUCAGUAAAGUUAUAUUUUCAAAAAUACACUACAGCCGAAACACUAUAGUGUUGUGUGCGCUUUACUCGAUUAAGGACAUACUGCGUACCUGUACUAAAGCGCUCCACCUGACCGUGUAGUACAGUUUACGGCUCUUAUUAAGCGCUCCACAUAGUGUUCAAUGGCGGGUCACACCUUGACUUGUGGCUUACCCCGGCGUUUCGACGCCGGGUUUCCCGGCUAGUUCUAAAUAAUUCCUAUGGUUUUCCUCAAAAGUUUAAUCAAAAUAUAAAAGAUGAGAGGUGAACGACAAAAUCAAAGUUUGCAGAAUUUAAUUAUUUUGGUAUAUAUAUGUCUAUUGAUAUAUGCCCUUUAUAACAAUAUUUCAAUCCAAAAUGUGAAAAAGAAAAACAGUUUGCAACAAAAUCAGUUAUUCUGAUGAUAUUGCAUACACUUUUUCUCCACAAAAGUGUAAAAAAAGAAUGGUUGUAGGAAAUACUUCUGAUUCAACAAAAAUCAGUAUUUGCAUCUUGUACUCAUUAAAUAUUACCCAAAAUUUCAAAAAACUGUGAUUUGGAACGCAUCAAAUUUAUAAAUAGAAAGGGAUUAGUCAUUUCGGUAUGUUGUACAGAGUCCUGCCCGGUAAGAAUUUAUACAAAAUAUAAAAAAAAGUUUUUUCGGUGUUGUACUCCCUCAAAAAAGUUGAAACUUUUCUUAAUUGAGACAAAAUGCCAUAAACAAAAACAUUUUAGUCAGAACAUCUAGAACAACAAAAAUCACUACACUUAAGGUACCAGAAUUACUGCAUGUAAAAUAAAAAUCGUUUCGUCAUAUUGCAUGUAACCGAUGUAUAUAAGUUUAGUUACACAAAAUGUGAAAAAUACAUAAUUUGCAUACACAAAUUGUGAAAAAUACAUUAUUUGCUUAAAAACAGUCCUUAAACUCUUCUUAAAUAUUAUGUAAUACUUUUUUAAAAGUUGUUGUGACUUGUUAAAAUGCUUAAAAAAAAGACUUAAAAUGUCAAUUAAAAUAAGUUACAGUCACAUUCUUAGCAAAGACCACUAAGAUUAGCUUACAUGUAAAAAGCAACAUAAAACUGAAGCUAACAUAAGGUAGCUACAGCAGCUAAUAGCUGGUCACUUAAAUAUAAACUGGAGACUUAGCUAGGUAUAAAGAACAUGGCUACAUAUUUAUAAAUUCCUAGCUACCUAGCUAGUUGUUGUUGGUGUGGUUGAUGCUAGCUAACAAACAUGUCUCGCAUCAAUAAUAUCAUCAAAACUUUAAAAAACAUAAACAAACCUUACAGAAACCUUUCUAUACUUCAUUUAUAUACCAUGCCCCUUUUUAAAUGCUUUUGUAAAGAUUUAUUUUGAAGGCAAGAGAAGACAAAUGCUUAAAAAGGACAGCCAUCUUUUUUGCAAACACAAUUUCCGUUACUUUGUGCUAAAACUUCAUUUAACAAACCACACAAAACUCGCGGCUUUUCACGACAAAGAAGACAUAUUUUUUUCGGCAACAUCAAAGAUUUUUUUCGGCAACAUCAAAGGAAAAUGACGAUAUCAACUUUGCCUGUCACAGACAGACGGACACACUUAGCGUAUUAUUAUAUUGACUAGCCGGGAAACUAGUCGAAACGCCGGGUUAAGGUGUGAUCCGGCAUUGAACACUCUGUGGAGCGCUUAAUAAGAGCCGUAUACUGUCCCACACGAUCAGGUGGAGAGCUUUUUAGUACAGGUAUACAGUAUGUCGUUAAUCAUUUGAAGCGCAUACACCAUUAUAGUGUGCGACUGUAACAUAUUUUUCAAAAAAUAACUUUCCCGCAACGAUAACUGAUAUAAAAACAGAGUUUACAAAGUGUUGUUACUCCAUCAUAGCAAAAACAAUCGUCAAUUUUAUUUCAUUUUGCAGAAUAACUUUUUGUGCAAGUUAAAAAAUUAAUCGUGACACUGGGCUGAGCGCUUAGUACAGUUAAACCGUGUUGCACAGCGUAUAGGAAUAAUACCCUUUUGAAAAAAACUUUCUCGCAGACACAGGGCUAAGCGGUUAGUCCAGGCGUGAUUCCCAAGAAAGUUUAAAAAUUAAUUUUCACAGUGGUGGGCUGACCUUAGUAUAUACAGGUAAACGGUGUUGCACAUGCCCAUAGGCGUAACAGCCUUUUACAAAAAACAGUCUGUUUUUAACACUGGGCUAACCGCUUAGUACAGUUAAACACAGUUGAACAGGCGCAUAAGGCGUACUACCCUUUUCCAAAAAUGUUCAUUGCAACUUCGGUUUAAAUAAAAACACAGGGAACAGCCUGUCGUUACUCGUCCAGCCAAAACAAUCGCUCAGCCAUUUCAUUUGCAGAAAAAGUUUGCAGAAAAAUUAUAAAAUAUGUAGCUAUACCUAGCUAGCUAACUGCAUUUAGCAUAAAAAUUAUGUAUUGCUUAAGAAUAUUGUUGUAGCCAAACUGCAUUUUUAUACUUUCACUUUUUAAGGAGCUAGCUAAAUAGCCACAGCCUCAGCAUAAAAAUAAAUGUUGGCUAGGAUAAAAAGCUCUUAUACCAAACAGAAUAGAAAUAAGUGAGGCUCUAGCUAGCUAGUAGCUAUAGCUAGCUAAUCUUCGUUCCUAGCCAAACAUCCUAAAACUGGUGCGUUUAAGAUCUGUACGUGGCUAAAAAACGUGACAACAUAUUUAUCCUAACAUUGAAAACAAACAGAAAACAAAUAUUACAAAUAUAUAAGGCUUUUAGAAGAUAAAAAAGUCAAACAGGCCUACAAACCUCACACACUGACCACAAACACGACCAUUAUCAAAAUGGCCUUCGUUCCGCGAAAAACUUGGAUUCUUUCUGGUCGCGAAAAUCUUGUUGUUUUUUUUAAAGAAUCAGGCGUUGUGAAUGGUAUUCUACGCGCGAGCGGUCAAAACAAAGUCGGUAAAAAUAUAUCGCAUUUGGUAUCGGCGCGUAAUUUACAAAAUUUCGUGUUUCCGUUACGGGACGCGGCUUUCGCGGACACACAGACAGACGGAAUACCGCUAUUAUUAAAGAGACUAGUCGUUGCCCGUGGAAAAAUCCACGGGUUCGCCCGUCCUUUAUAUUUACCCGUCGCAACAAAGUGGAUAAAAGUAUAUCGCAUUUGAUAUUCGUGUUUCCGUAACAUCAUUUUCUAACUCAGCGGGGGGUCCGCGCAGAGACAGACAGACGGAAUACGGCUAUUAUAAUAGAGACUAGUCGUUGCCCGUGGAAAAAUCCACGGGUUCGCCCGUCCUUUAAAUUUACCCGUCGCAACAAAGCGGAUAAAAAUAUAUCGCAUUUGAUAUUCGUGUUUCCGUAACAUCAUUUUCUAACUCAGCGGGGGGUCCGCGCAGAGACAGACAAAAUACGGCUAUUAUUAAAGAGACUAGUCGAUAGCCCGUGGAAAAAUCCACGGGUGCGCCCAUCCUUUUUAUACCACUUAAGCUUACCCCGGUGUCGAAACGCCGGGGUAAGCCAAAGUCAAGGUGCGAUCUGACGUUUAACACUCUGUGGAGCUCUUAAUAAGAGCCGUAAACUGUGCCACACGAUCAGGUGGAGCGCUUUAGUACAGGUAUACAGUAUUUCGUAAAUUAAGUACACCAUUAUAGUCUUGCGACUGUAACAUAUUUUUCAAAAAAUAUUCCCUGCAACGAUAGCUGAAAUAAAAACACAGUUUACAAACAACAGUCGGGACCCCAUCAUAGCAAAAACAAUCAGUCAAUAUUAUUUUAUUUUGCGGAAUAAAUGUUUGUGAAAGGUAAAGAAUUUAUCGUGACACUGGGCUAAGCGCUUACCACAGUUAAACCGUGUUGCACAGGCAUAUAGGAAUAAUACGCCUUUGGAAAAAACCUUCUCACAGACUCUGUUUAAAAAAACACAACAGGGCUGUGCGGUUAGUCCAGGUAAACAUUGUUGCACAUCCGUACAGGUGUGAUUACCGAGAAAGUUUGAAAAUGAAUUGUCACAUUGGGUUGACCCCUUAGUACAGGUAAACCACGUUGUAAAUGCGCAUGGGCUUAACAGCCUUUACCAAAAACAACAGUCUGUUGUUAACACUGGGCUAACUGCUUAGUUAAACAGAGUUGAACAGGCGUAUAGGCGUAAUACCCCUUUCCAAAAAAACUUCAUUGCAACUUCGGUUUUAAUGAAAACACUGGGAACAGCUCAUUACCGGUUCAGCUAAAAUAAUCUGUCAGUCAUUUUAUUUGCACAAAAAGUUUUCAGGAAAAAAUAACUUAGCUAACUGCAUUUAUAGCAUAACACUUAUUGUUUAACAAUAUUGUUGUAGCCAAACUGCAUUUUUAUACUCUUACUUCUAGCCAAAGAUAGGAGCUAGCUAAAUGGCUACAGUCUCAACACAAAAAUAAAUGGUGGAAUAAGUAAGGUUCUAGCUAGCUAGCUAGCCUCAAUCUUCGUUUCCUAGCCAAAAAUCCUAAAACUGGUGCGUUUAAGAUCUGUACGUGACUAAAAACAUGACAAUAUAUUUAUCUUAACAUUUUAGAACAUACAAAAAACCAAUAUUACGAAAAUAAAAA